rnacentral:rRNA from 1 species
CCUACGGGUGGCAGCAGUGAGGAAUCUUGGUCAAUGGGCGUAAGCCUGAACCAGCCAAGUCGCGUGGGUGAUGAAGGUUCUAUGGAUCGUAAACCUCUUUUAUAAGGGAAUAAAUGGCUGGACGUGUCUCUUUUUGUAUGUACCUUAUGUAUAAGGAUCGGCGAACUCAGUGCCAGCAGCCGCGGUCAUACGGAGGGUCCGAGCGUUAUCCGGAUUUAUUGGGUUUAAAGGGUGCGUAGGCGGUCUUUUAAGUCAGAGGUGAAAGUCUGUGGCUCAACCAUAGAAUUGCCGUUGAAACUGGGAGGCUUGAGUAUGUUAGAGGAAGGUGGAACGCGUGGUGUAGCGGUGAAAUGCUUAGAUAUAACGAAGAACCCCGGUUGCGAAGGCAGCUUGCCAAGCCAUGACUGACGCUGAUGCACGAAAGCGUGGGGAUCAAACAGGAUUAGAUACCCGGGUAGUC